AGAGUUUGAUUCUGGCUCAGGAUGAACGCUGGCGGUAUGCUUAACACAUGCAAGUCGAACGGUCUCUUCGGAGAUAGUGGCGGACGGGUGAGUAACGCGUGAGAAUCUGCCUUCAGGUCUGGGACAACCAUUGGAAACGGUGGCUAAUACCGGAUGAGCAGAGAUGUGAAAGAUUAAUUGCCUGAAGAGGAGCUCGCGUCUGAUUAGCUAGUUGGUGGGGUAAGAGCUUACCAAGGCGACGAUCAGUAGCUGGUCUGAGAGGACGAUCAGCCACACUGGGACUGAGACACGGCCCAGACUCCUACGGGAGGCAGCAGUGGGGAAUUUUCCGCAAUGGGCGAAAGCCUGACGGAGCAAUACCGCGUGAGGGAGGAAGGCUCUUGGGUCGUAAACCUCUUUUCUCAGGGAAGAAAAAAAUGACGGUACCUGAGGAAUAAGCAUCGGCUAACUCCGUGCCAGCAGCCGCGGUAAUACGGAGGAUGCAAGCGUUAUCCGGAAUGAUUGGGCGUAAAGCGUCCGCAGGUGGCUAUGUAAGUCUGCUGUUAAAGAGCAAGGCUCAACCUUGUAAAAGCGGUGGAACUACAUAGCUAGAGUGCGUUCGGGGCAGAGGGAAUUCCUGGUGUAGCGGUGAAAUGCGUAGAGAUCAGAAGAACACCGGUGGCGAAAGCGCUCUGCUAGGCCGCAA
rnacentral:rRNA from 1 species